rnacentral:tRNA from 1 species
CAUUAGGUGACUGAAAGCAAGUAGUGGCCUCUUAAGCCAUUUAUAGUAAUUAACAAAUACUUCUAAUGA